rnacentral:rRNA from 1 species
AUGACGCUGCGGCGGCCUACCAUGCAAGUCGAGCGGUAGAGAGAAGCUUGCUUCUCUUGAGAGCGGCGGACGGGUGAGUAAAGCCUAGGAAUCUGCCUGGUAGUGGGGGAUAACGUUCGGAAACGGACGCUAAUACCGCAUACGUCCUACGGGAGAAAGCAGGGGACCUUCGGGCCUUGCGCUAUCAGAUGAGCCUAGGUCGGAUUGGCUAGUUGGUGAGGUAAUGGCUCACCAAGGCGACGAUCCGUAACUGGUCUGAGAGGAUGAUCAGUCACACUGGAACUGAGACACGGUCCAGACUCCUACGGGAGGCAGCAGUGGGGAAUAUUGGACAAUGGGCGAAAGCCUGAUCCAGCCAUGCCGCGUGUGUGAAGAAGGUCUUCGGAUUGUAAAGCACUUUAAGUUGGGAGGAAGGGCAGUUAUCUAAUACGUGACUGUUUUGACGUUACCGACAGAAUAAGCACCGGCUAACUCUGUGCCAGCAGCCGCGGUAAU